GGGAAUGUGGUUUAAUAGUAAAAUGCUUGCCUAGCAUGCAUGAAGCCCUGGGUUCGAUUCCUCAGUACCA
rnacentral:tRNA from 1 species